GUCCGGCUAGCUCAAUUGGAAGAGCGUUCACUUUGAUUUAUAGGAAUUCACCGAAUGGUUGCAAGUUCGAGUCUUGCGCUGGGCC